GUCCGGAAUUAUUGGGCGUAAAGCGCGCGCAGGCGGUCCUUUAAGUCUGAUGUGAAAGCCCACGGCUUAACCGUGGAGGGCCAUUGGAAACUGGAGGACUUGAGUACAGAAGAGGAGAGUGGAAUUCCACGUGUAGCGGUGAAAUGCGUAGAGAUGUGGAGGAACACCAGUGGCGAAGGCGACUCUCUGGUCUGUAACUGACGCUGAGGUGCGAAAGCGUGGGGAGCGAACAGGAUUAGAUACCCUGGUAGUCCACGCCGUAAACGAUGAGUGCUAGGUGUUAGGGGGUUUCCGCCCCUUAGUGCUGAAGUUAACGCAUUAAGCACUCCGCCUGGGGAGUACGGCCGCAAGGCUGAAACUCAAAAGAAUUGACGGGGGCCCGCACAAGCGGUGGAGCAUGUGGUUUAAUUCGAAGCAACGCGAAGAACCUUACCAGGUCUUGACAUCCUCUGCCAAUCCUAGAGAUAGGAUGUUCCCUUCGGGGACAGAGUGACAGGUGGUGCAUGGUUGUCGUCAGCUCGUGUCGUGAGAUGUUGGGUUAAGUCCCGCAACGAGCGCAACCCUUGAUCUUAGUUGCCAGCAUUUAGUUGGGCACUCUAAGGUGACUGCCGGUGACAAACCGGAGGAAGGUGGGGAUGACGUCAAAUCAUCAUGCCCCUUAUGACCUGGGCUACACACGUGCUACAAUGGAUGGAACAAAGGGCAGCGAAGCCGCGAGGUCAAGCAAAUCCCAUAAAACCAUUCUCAGUUCGGAUUGCAGGCUGCAACUCGCCUGCAUGAAGCCGGAAUCGCUAGUAAUCGCGGAUCAGCAUGUCGCGGUGAAUACGUUCCCGGGCCUUGUACACACCGCCCGUCACACCACGAGAGUUGGUAACACCCGAAGUCGGUGAGGUAACCUUUUGGAGCCAGCCGCCGAAGGUGGGUAUCAAUGAUGGGGGA
rnacentral:rRNA from 1 species